CUCUUUUAGUAUACACUUAUGCUCAUCCUUUCCUCGGUCUCCCUCCACUCUCUUUUUCUUCCUCAAACCCUUACUCUCCCUCAAGAAAUUCACCCACCACAACAAGACCACUCAGGUGCACCACCACCACCACCGUAGGCAGCUAGCAGCCGCCAGCUGGCCGCCUGUUGUCCCUAAGGACCUAUUCUCUCUCCUCCAUUUUUGUUCCCGGUUCAUAAGAGGGGCGUAAGAACUUCUUUCAAAGUGAUUGUUGUGACUUGUUAUUUUGCAGUUGCAGGUAAGUACACGCAGUAGCUAACUCUUGCAUGCAUCUUGAAUAUAUUUUCUUUGCGUAGCAAUAUUAUAUGAGUUAUGUUGACUACGAUUUGCUAUUAAAUCUUAUUAAAUUAUUGUUUCAAGUGUGGAUCGGUUUGUAGAGAUGGUAGAGAAUGGGUUUUGAUGUCGCGAGAGUGGAAUGUUGGAUUAUAUGAGAUGGAAUGGGAAUGACUCCUUAUUGAUAAGUUUUGAAUUAUGUUUUAUGAAUGGGAAUGAAUCCCUUACUGAUGAGAUAUUAAGUUGGUUUUUAUUGUGACUCCACUAGAUUGGUACCCCAGUUGGUUUAGUUCCCAGAGGCAAGGAUCAUCUAUAUAUGGUCGCUGUACGGGGGUAUGAUCAUACUUUGCCAUUGGGUGCCGGCAUGGCCGUCACCGUCCUUGGUUGAGGUGUUACCAUGUUGGUCUUGCAAACCCCAGUAUGGUAGCCUCUUGUCACAUAAGAGAAUAUAUGAAACCAAAGAAGAGAUGGAAAAUGAUGCAUUGAGAAGUACAUAGAAAUGAGAAGUAGUUCGAGUUAAUACUUGCACAUUGGAAUGUCUCCCUCACCUUGUUUAGUUGAAAUUGAUUGUUGGUUAUAUAUAUAACAUGUUGUUGGUUACCGACGUGUACUGUUUGUUUCUUUGUUGAUGGCUCAUCUUUGAUGGCCUUGCUAUGACACGUUGGUCUAUUAUCUUACGUUAAGCAGCAGGGAUAUCAUAGAUAGAUCUUGCAGGUUAUGGAGAUUCCUUGCAUUGCAUACGAGGGGGAAUGAGUGAGAACCUUGAAGCGUACAAUGUUAUAUUUGUUUUUGACGCUACAUGUAGUUUCUUUGCAUUUAAAUUGUUUAUGUUUUUAGCUUCAGGCACAUGCCCUCUUCUUGAUGUAAUUCGUUCCACUACAAAGGUUUAGUUCGUACGA